UAAAACGAGAGAGGGGAAAUCCAGCCAGCCAGUCGACAACAUCAGCAGGCACUAGACGUUAUAUUCAGAAUCCUAUCGCCAUAUAGUGAGAGAGAAGCAUCAUCCGAAGUACAAUGUUAUUGCGCUCCUCGCCAUCAUCGUCGUCGUCUUCUGCGGAUUUUGUGUGAUAUUCAAAAUGUCUACCAGUGUGGAGGACUGAAAGAAUGAAAAAACUCUAGCCUUUCUGAAUGGUCGCUGCAUUGCCUUGGCCAAAUUUUGGUGCGUUGUGAAAGGUGGACAAUGAUUCGAAGCCUGUUUUAAGGACGAUCCAACUCAGUUUCGGAGUACGGAUUACAAUCCGAUUUCUACGGGAACCGCUUCCGCCGCGUCCUCCGUCGUUGUCGUGUCGUUUUUGCGUGUGUUCUGUGAAUUUUUUAGGUUUUUCGGUGUGUUCCGUGUGCGUGUGUUAAAGUUUCUUGGUUGACCGGCCAGUGGUCUACGGUGGGCUCGUGAGAAAAGUGCAUUCUUGUGGGAACCAAACCACGAACGGGAUCUAUACGUGGAUUCUUCCGGAAGAGCAGUUUCGAAAGAAGAAAGGUCAAUAAGAGUGCUGCUGUGAAAAUGAGGAGAACCCAUCAAGGCAGAGCCCAUUUUUUAUCGGAAAUUGCGUGAAUUAGUUUCCUGGCAGUAGUCUGUGCAGGAACCGUUUUUUUCCGGCGACUAGAGGCGAAUUUUCAUCCAGGAAUACUUACCCCUUUUGGUGCAUAAUAUUCUUAAUCAUCUGCAAUAGUGUGAGUGUUCCCUGGUGAUGAAUUGAAAUUAUGAGAGGAAUCUAGCUGGUGACCCGUGUUCCGUAACAUUGUUCCGGCCACAGUGAGCCUACCGAAUUAGCAUAAAAUUCAGUGAUAUCUAUGUUGCAACGAGACGGGUGUGUUGUUUGGAGUGAAAAUCGAAUUAGAAUCCCAUGUGUAAGUUGCCUCGUCGAGGAAGCAUGUAAAUACCCGAAGAAGUGAAAAACAAGAAAAAAAAAAUCAAUAUUUACUUCAUCAGAAAGCUGCAGGGAGCGAGUGUCCGCAGCGUGAACGGGAAGUCAGUCUAGAGGGGAAGAGAUCGAGAGGGCCGAAUACAACAAAACAGAGAAGAUUGAGGAGGGAAGAAAAUUCGAAAGAAGAGCGGAGCCAGAGAAGCAAGAAAUCAAACAAGCAGGCAAGCAGGCAUAGAUAAGGGGUAUCUGCGCGAGGAAGAGAGGCAAGGAAUGCGACAAAAGUUCUGUGAUUAAUGAUAGUGAAAGCAGAAUCAGCACAAAGAAAAUUUUCGAGCCCAGCAGGUUCGGUGUUUGUGGUCGGUACACUUGAGUGAGGUUGGAAUUUUGAAUUCGCUCUGAUUGGAAGUCUGGAAGUGUCUGUUAUGCCAGUGCAAGUGUGGUCCGGUGCAAAAUUCCAAUUGAUUUGUGUGAUUGUUUUAUAAUUGCAUGGCCAAGAGAAACUGACCGCACAAGUUUUAAUCCUUCCUGACACUUGUGCUGGUGCGGUGCGAGAUUGCGGAAACGGAAGCUUAAUCCAGCGAGAUUUAUAGAUUACUGAACGUCGGGGGAUCGAAAAGAUUAUCCUACAAUUUCCGAAAGGACUGAUCUGAUGAGCCACAUUCCAUCACUUAUUAAAGUACAUACUCAAAUCGAUAUUUACGAAAGCUAGAUUUUGCUUAUCAAAAAAAAAUAACUACUAGGAUAAGACAAUUUGUAAUUAUACCUUUAACCAUCCGGUUUAACAAGCAUUGGUUUUGACCCACUGGAGAUAUGCACAUUUUUUACUAGAUUGAAAAGUGUGAAACAAAAAUCAGUGAACGUUUUAUAAUGAGGUAAACCAGUAACUAUAGGUAACAGCGUAAAAGUGCAUCUCGUGAACAACUAGUGCGCCACAAAACCAAGAAGAAUUCAAACAAUGACGUGCUAAUUAUCCACGAGCUAUCCAUGGAUACAGUGUGAGUGUGAAACAAGUGGAUUCUACCGUCUGCUGGAGGUGCUUAUUAUAGUAGCAGGGUGUCAAAGUUGCAUCCUCAAGAAGCCUUUGCCAUCAUGUUGUCGUCGACCACUUCACAGCGACCGCAUCAACGGCUUGUAUACCGACAUACCGUUGCAUUCGUUGUUGUAACCGUGUUUGUUGUUGGAAACUUAUGUGCCUGGCAGGAAAAUGUCCGACCGAAGCUCUACGUAUCACUAGCCGAAGAGGAAUACCUGAGGUUUCAGGGAAACGAAUCGAUCAUCGACUACUUCAAGCUCGUUCUACGGGAUGCCACCAGCAACAGUUUGCUGGUGGGUGCAAGAAACAUCGUGUACAAUCUCAGCAUAUACGAUCUCAGCGAGCAGACGCGAUUAGUGUGGUACACAUCGGAGGAUGACAUCAAAAUGUGUGUGAUGAAAGGAAAAGACGAGGAACUUUGUCAGAAUUAUAUUCGCAUUUUGGCACUACCCACACCCGGAACGCUACUCAGCUGUGGCACCAAUGCAUUCCGACCGAUGUGCCGGACGUUUGGCAUCAACGGAAACAGCUACUCAAUCGAAUCGGAGAAGCCAGGUCAAGCCGUGUGCCCCUACGAUCCGGUUCAUAAUUCGACAGCCGUUUUUGUCGAUAACGAACUCUAUUCCGGCACGGUGGCUGAUUUCAGCGGUCUUGACCCAAUUAUCUACCGGGAACCAUUGCAGACCGAGCAGUACGACAGUUUGAGCCUGAAUGCACCCAACUUCGUCGGUUCGUUCACGCAGGGCGACUUUGUCUACUUCUUCUUCCGCGAGACGGCCGUCGAAUUCAUCAACUGUGGCAAGGCCGUCUUCAGCCGCGUGGCACGUGUUUGCAAAUGGGAUAAAGGUGGCCCACAUCGGUUUAAAAAUCGAUGGACUACAUAUCUGAAAUCACGCUUGAAUUGCUCGAUGCCAGGAGAUUUUCCUUUCUACUUCGACGAGAUCCAAUCCACCAGCAGCCUGGUCGAAGGGCGCUAUGGUAACGCCAACUCCAAACUCAUCUACACCGUAUUCACAACAUCAACCAAUGCCAUUGCGGGCUCGGCAAUAUGUACAUUCUCACUACAGGAUAUUGCGGACACGUUUGAAGGUAACUUCAAGGAGCAAAGUGGAUUAAACUCUAAUUGGCUACCUGUUAACCCGUCAAAGGUUCCGGAUCCACGCCCCGGCUCAUGCCACAACGAUUCGCGAACACUGCCGGAUUUAACACUCAACUUCAAAAAGACGCACUCACUGAUGGAUGAAAAUGUGCCAACAUUUUUCGGUUCGCCGAUUUUGACCCGAGUCAGCUCGGUCUAUCGAUUCACUGCCAUUGCCGUUGAUCCGCAAAUUAAAACUCCCGGUGGGAAAACGUAUGAUGUGAUUUUCGUCGGUACAGACCAUGGUAAAAUCAUAAAAACAGUGAACGCAGAAUCAGCUGACUCGAACAAGAAGGUUUCCUCGGUCGUCAUUGAGGAAAUUGAUGCUCUUCCAACUAGUGAACCGGUGCGAAGUUUGGAAAUCGUGAGAACCAUGCAAUACGACACGCCAAAGGACGGAAGUUAUGAUGAUGGAAAAUUAAUUAUAGUCACCGAUACAACCGUGAUAGCGAUUAAAUUACACCGCUGCAGCAGCGAAAAGAUAACAAGUUGCAGCGAAUGCGUGGCGCUGCAGGAUCCGUACUGUGCCUGGGACAAGAUUGCGGGCAAAUGUCGAUCGCACGGGGCUCCACGUUGGUCGGAGGAUAACUACUACUAUCAAAACGUUGCCAUUGGAGAUCACACGGCAUGUCCUAAGAUUUCCAAGGCUGUCAAGGUGGAGAAGGAAGGAUACAGAGACGAUUACGAUCCUCAACGACCCAAUAAGCAUCAGCCGGACAACGACAUGAUCAGCAUAAUGCAGGACAAAAGUGGUUACGAUGACAAAGGGCCACAAAUAACACCUGAUUUGAUAAAUGCUCAAUAUACGGUGGAAACACUUGUAAUGGCCGUGCUAGCAGGUGCAAUUUUCGCCCUAUUGGUGGGAUUCAUCACCGGUUAUUUUUGUGGCCGACGGUGUCACAAGGACGAAGAUGAUAAUCUACCAUAUCCCGAUACGGAAUACGAAUACUUUGAGCAGCGACAAAAUGUCAAUCGGAUACAAACCGAACCGAAGCUCCUUCCACAGGUCGAAGAAGUGACCUACGCCGAACCCGUACUAUUACCUCAGCCAUCUAGUCAGAAUAAGAUGCAGCAAUCGCCAAAAAAUACGUUAAGGAAACCGAUGGGUCACCACCACGGUGUAAACUCGGAAACGCUUUUCCAGUUCCAGCCAGAUGGCUACAGCGCUCGUGAUAACUACCGAGGUCGCGACAACUUCGGUACCCUCCGAUCCCACCAAGGUGAUAAUUAUCGUCGCGGUGACGGAUUCUCAACAACGAGAAGUGUGAAAAAAGUGUAUCUCUGAGACGGGAACGGGGCGGCUGAGACCAGCCAGGGACUGAUUAAUCAAAAUAUGCAUUUUUAUAUAGGUCCUUAAUACCAACACUCGUAACAGAAGUCUCGGCCGAAUGAAAAGGCAGCCGCCCCGGCAUGGCAUAGUAACGCAACAUCGUUCCGAUAGUCCACAGAAUUCCAGUUCCGGAUCUUCCCCAGUCAUGUCCAAUAGUAGUUCUAGUCCG